rnacentral:rRNA from 2 species
GUGAAGUCGGAAUCGCUAGUAAUCGCGAAUCAGAAUGUCGCGGUGAAUACGUUCCCGGGCCUUGUACACACCGCCCGUCACACCAUGGGAGUGGGUUGCACCAGAAGUAGCUAGUCUAACCUUCGGGGGGACGGUUACCACGGUGUGAUUCAUGACUGGGGUGAAGUCGUAACAAGGUAGCCGUAGGGGAACCUGCGGCUGGAUCACCUCCUUAA